AGAUCUUGUUCCGCUCAGAAUGUAAAAUUAGAUGAAAUUUGACAGUUGUUCAGUCAAAAAAUUAAAUAUUUUAAUGGCUGGUGUGUACUAAACGAUUGGGCAGAUAUUGUCCAGGUUCUAACUAAUUGGGGGUAAGUAGUAACGACGAAAAUUAUAAAAGGAAACUGGUUAAUAAAUAUUUAUUUGCUGUACAUCGCUGAUAAGAUGAUACCUAACGAGGAAGCAGGUAUGUAAAAUGUGUAAUUUAUUUUUAUUAUAAAUUAUAAGAAUAUUACACUUAUGAAUAAAUAUAAUAAAC